rnacentral:rRNA from 1 species
GAUGAACGCUGGCGGCGUGCUUAACACAUGCAAGUCGAACGGAAAGGCUCCUGCUUGCAGGGGUACUCGAGUGGCGAACGGGUGAGUAACACGUGGGUGAUCUGCCCUGCACUUCGGGAUAAGCCUGGGAACCUGGGUCUAAUACCGGAUAGGACGAUGGUUUGGAUGCCAUUGUGGAAAGUUUUUCGGUGUGGGAUGAGCUCGCGGCCUAUCAGCUUGUUGGUGGGGUAAUGGCCUACCAAGGCGUCGACGGGUAGCCGGCCUGAGAGGGUGUACGGCCACAUUGGGACUGAGAUACGGCCCAGACUCCUACGGGAGGCAGCAGUGGGGAAUAUUGCACAAUGGGCGCAAGCCUGAUGCAGCGACGCCGCGUGGGGGAUGACGGCCUUCGGGUUGUAAACUCCUUUCGCUAGGGACGAAGCGCAAGUGACGGUACCUGGAGAAGAAGCACCGGCUAACUACGUG